rnacentral:rRNA from 1 species
AGCAGCCGCGGUAAUUCCAGCUCCAAUAGCGUAUAUUAAAGUUGUUGCAGUUAAAAAGCUCGUAGUUGAAUUUCGGAAUCAGUACGCCGGUCAUGCUCCGGUAUGUACUAGUGUCACUGAUUCCUUCCUUCUGACGAACCGUCAUGCCAUUAAUUUAGUGUGACGGGGAAUCAGGACUGUUACUUUGAAAAAAUUAGAGUGUUUAAAGCAGGCUCGCGCUUGAACACAUUAAGCAUGGAAUAAUGAAAUAGGACGUUGAUUCUUAUUUUGUUGGUUUCUUAGAUCGACGUAAAUGAUUAAUAGGGAUAGUUGGGGGCAUUAGUAUUCAAUUGUUAAGAGGUGAAAUUCUUGGGUUUA